rnacentral:rRNA from 1 species
UACGGGGGGGGCAAGCGUUGUUCGGAAUUACUGGGCGUAAAGGGUUCGUAGGUGGCUUGCUAAGUCAGACGUGAAAUCCCUCAGCUUAACUGGGGAACUGCGUCUGAGACUGGUGAGCUUGAGUGCAGGAGAGGAACGCGGAAUUCCAGGUGUAGCGGUGAAAUGCGUAGAUAUCUGGAGGAACACCGGUGGCGAAGGCGGCCUGCUGGGCAGUAGCUGACGCUGAGGCGCGACAGCGUGGGGAGCAAACAGG